GAGAAAAGAAGUAUGGCUUUGGGCAUUUGGAGAUCAGGAUGAAAAAAUAGAAUGAGCAGGUGGCUAAUUCACAGCUGAGUUAAUCAAAGAUUUUAGAAUUAUUAUUUUAGGAACUUCUGUCAAUUCAAAAUGUACUAAGGAUCUAUAGUUACAGUUUCUCAAUGUGCCACAUGUGCUGGAAUUCAACUGUCUGGAUGUACCACAAUUGAUUUAUCCAUUUUCCUACCGAAGGACAUUUUGGCUGCUACCAAGUACCGACAGCAAAUCUGCUGUAAACACCUGCGUGCAUGUUUUUGUGUAGACCACAGUAGAUAACAUCUAAUGAGUGACCAGGUGGGGUCAUCAUGAACAUUUUCCAAGACCACUGAUUCAUCAAGACCCCUGGUUCCAGAGCAUAAGUGACUUAUGCAAGACACCUAAAUGCUGCUCUUGUUCCUGGAUUACCAAGAAGACACAUGUUCCAGACCAGUGACCUCAAUAAAAACUCCAGGCUCCAAGGAAAGAUGAGACUCACUAUCUUUUCCUUUCUGAGUCUCCUAGAUGCUCUGUCUGUGUCUACAU